GUCUUUUCUGGCAGAUUACUUCUGUGAGCAACUGGGUCUCUCAGUUCUUUGGGAGCACCCUGGGAAACAGUGUGGCUAUGACUUGGAGCUGCUCACCAGUUCCAGUCAUUCUGUGGUUGAGAGCUGCUCCCUAUGGAUGUUAAUUCUUCUCUAUUUUAGAUUUUCCACAGGUGUGGGCCCCAUUAGCUCUGGCCACCUGAGAAAGCCCUCAGGCAAAGAGUCGCAGGUGAAAGCCAGCAGUUAGAGGUUCACAGAAAUGAGUGCAGAAGCAUCUUCAGUUGGAGAGCCAUUGCCUCUUGCUGUGAAAUAUUUGGGAAUCUUCAGAAACCAUGAAGAAUAACCUGCUAAAGGCCACCAAGUUCUAUUGAACAUCAUGAAUCCUAUGCUCAAGUGAGAUCAGCUCAAGUGAGACCAGAUAUCUGAAGACCUUUUCAUUUUCGCCACCCUCAAAUGAAGGCAUGCAAGCUUAUGUUGACACAUCGUUCUAGGAAGAAAACAGAACAUUUCUGCUCAUCAGUGUUUUGCAGUAGGAGAUAAAAACUAUCAUGUGGAAGAUGCCCUCCCUGUGCCAAGAGAAAAGAAACAUUCUUCCAUGAAGACUCAUAGCCGAGAUAAUUCCGUAUAAACAGACCUUGUUAAAAGAAUUAUCUCCCUUUGGCCUCCCCACAAAAUUUAGAUACUUUUCCACAAUUGCCUCUUUACAAAAUCAUGUAAGCCUUGCUUUUUUUUUUAUCUUCAUUUUCUCAUGAGGGCUCCUGUGUCAUGUAAAAUAUGUUAAAUUUAUACGCUUUUCUCUUGUUAAUUUAUCUUACGUCAAUUUAAUUCUCAAGCCCAGCAGAGACCCUAGAAGGGCAGAGGUAAAUUUUUGCCUGCACUACACUAUUGAUCCCAAAACACACACACAGAGAGAGAGAGAGAGAAAGAGAGAGAGAGAAACUCUCUUCCUAUUCUGUGCCAGUGAAAUUCUGCCAUCAGCAAAUAUAUCUUUUCUGACUUUGAAAAUACUGAUGACAGUGGAGAUUAAAAUCCUACCAAGGCUGCUGCAGAAUCAAUGACACAUGAGGUGGCCAGGCAUGGUGGCUCACGACUGUAAUCCCAGCACUUUGGGAGGCCAAGGUGGGUGGAUCCCCUGAAGCCAAGAGUUCAAGACCAGCCAGGCUAACAUGGUGAAACUCCAUCUCUACUAAAAAUACAAAAAAUUAGCCGGGUGUGGUGGCACAUGCCUGUAAUCCCAGCUACUCAGGAGGCAGAGAGAGGAGAAUUGCCUGAGCCCAGAAGGUGGAGGUUGCAGUGAGCCGAGAUCAUGCCACUGCACUCCAGCCUGGGUAACAGAGUGAGACUCCGUCUCAAAAAAAAAAACAAAAAACAAAAAACAAAAAAAAAACACAUGAAGCUUUACCAGAAGAUUUCAGUAUGUCCUCCAGUGCGUAAUUCAUUUGUUCAACAAUUUUUACUGGGCAGGCAUUCUAAUAGAUGUUGAGGAUAUCACAAUAAAUAAGGCAAACAAAAUCUCUACCCUAUGGUAGAGAUUUUGAAAUAUCAAAUUAUUAAGUUUUAGGAAAAUUCAAUGACAAAAAGAAAGUCUUAUAAUAUUACCAUGUCCAGAUAAUGUAAGUAUUUACACAUUACUAUUUCAAUUUCAUUCAAUUUUUUUCUAAACUUUUAUUUUUUCAAACAUGUAAUCAUAAUAUAUUAGUGCUAAGUAUUAAAACAAUUUCUUAAUUCCCAUGUAAAUUUAAGGGUAUUUAAGCUUUUUUUUUUUUUUUUUUGAGACGGAGUUACACUCUUGUUGCUCAGGCUGGAGCUCAAUGG
rnacentral:lncRNA from 1 species